CUUUGUGGAAACAAAUUGAAAGCCUGGCAUUGUAAUAUGUGUAUGGACAUGCUUAUAACAAAGCAUGGACCCUCUCCUCAUGUAGUUGGUCAUUAACAGGCACUUUGAUGCAAUGUGUCUACCAACGCUUUUCUGUGGUCAUUGGAUCACAUCGCAUACCCUAUCUCUCAGUCAUGAUGCAGAGUUUAUGCUUGCAAGGAUAUCCAGACCUUAUCCACCUGGUAUCCGUAUAAAUACUCCUAUCGUUUACAGGGGUUAAUUACAUAAUAACCAUUGAAGGUAAUAUGUUGGUUGUUCUUCCUAUAGAGGAAAGAUAGACUUG
rnacentral:lncRNA from 1 species